rnacentral:rRNA from 1 species
UGAAGAAGGCCUUGCGGUUGUAGAGCACUAUAUGCGACGAGGAUGCUACCUGGAUCCUACUCUAGGAUACUGGACGUUACUCACACAAUUACCGCCGGCUAACUCUGUGCCAGCAGCCGCGGUAAUACAGAGGGUGCGAGCGUUAAUCGGAUUUACUGGGCGUAAAGCGUGCGUAGGCGGCUGAUUAAGUCGGAUGUGAAAUCCCUGAGCUUAACUUAGGAAUUGCAUUCGAUACUGGUCAGCUAGAGUAUGGGAGAGGAUGGUAGAAUUCCAAGUGUAGCGGUGAAAUGCGUAGAGAUCUGGAGGAAUACCGAUGGCGAAGGCAGCCAUCUGGCCUAAUACUGACGCUGAGGUACGAAAGCAUGGGGAGCAAACAGGAUUAGAUACCCUGGUAGUCCAUGCCGUAAACGAUGUCUACUAGCCGUUGGGGCCUUUGAGGCUUUAGUGGCGCAGCUAACGCGAUAAGUAGACCGCCUGGGGAGUACGGUCGCAAGACUAAAACUCAAAUGAAUUGACGGGGGCCCGCACAAGCGGUGGAGCAUGUGGUUUAAUUCGAUGCAACGCGAAGAACCUUCACUGGGCUUGACCUACUAGAAACU